rnacentral:rRNA from 1 species
UACAGAGGUCUCAAGCGUUGUUCGGAUUCAUUGGGCGUAAAGGGUGCGUAGGCGGCGCGGUAAGUCGGGUGUGAAAUCUCGGAGCUUAACUCCGAAAACUGCAUUCGAUACUGCCGUGCUUGAGGACUGGAGAGGAGACUGGAAUUUACGGUGUAGCGGUGAAAUGCGUAGAUAUCGUAAGGAAGACCAGUGGCGAAGGCGGGUCUCUGGACAGUUCCUGACGCUGAGGCACGAAGGCCAGGGGAGCAAAC